ncrna:unclassified sequences Glutamine riboswitch
CACGUUCAUCAUGUUUCUAACAUGACGGAAGUAGACGAAAGUCGAAGGAACGCAUG